rnacentral:tRNA from 1 species
UGGGUUGCAGCUCAGUGUUAGAGCACUUGCCUGGCACGUGUGACGCUCUGAGUUCAAUCCUCAGCACCGCAU